rnacentral:lncRNA from 1 species
AUGGACAAAGAAAAUUGUUGUUUUUUUUUUUUUCAGGGAAUGGUUCUAAGAAGCAUUUAUAUGAUUUUGACCAGAAACGUUAUCAUAAGACAAUUGGAUCUUGAUAAACACAGGAAAAUCUACAUGACUCUCACUUAUCCCCACUACUUCUAUCUACAAAAUUGACGUCAUACCUUGCUCAGUUGGGUCUUCACAGUGUGCUGUGACAAAAAUCAAGAACUGCAGAGGAAAUCAAUCUAGAACAGAAAAGCAAGGUGGUAUUGUUCAGUCUGAUUCCAAUAUUUGAGAAGUUGUUCAGUGCCCAGUAAGCAAACACAUACCAUUCAUAAGUAAUUUUGUUUUUUAAAAUGUAAAUUAAAAUAUUACUUUUCUUUCCAUUUAUGUCAUUGUUUUCCUGAAGGUUACUAUGUGUUAGGACAUAGAUACUUCUUAAGUGAUUUGGAUCCAAUUACUUAAUAAGUACAACUGUCAGGGAUUUCUUUUGGUCUAGGGGUGCCAUGAAAAUAAUUAAGAAUCAUGAAAAUCUCCAUGAAUUGAAAACAUGUGGGCACCUCUGAACUAAAUUCAUAUUGGUGAAUACUUCUGGAAAAUUAUGUGCAACGGUGCAUAGAAACACAGAGAGAUUGGUUUGGUUUGUGAGAUGGAUUUGGGGAGUGUAAGAGGGAAGGCUAAACAGAGGUAUAGCAAUGGAGCGAUCCCAUAAAGAGUGCCCAGAAUAUUGUCUAGUGAAAAAUAAGGAAUGAGAAGAAGAAGAAUUGCACUAAAUUACGAUGGCCUGUUAUUGUUAUAUUCCAUGGAACUCAUACUUUCACUCUUUAAUUUGCUUAACCAAAGCACAAUUGUCUCAUUUGGCUGUUUUCUGAAUAUGAUGCUUCAUUUCUAAGUGGUUUUGACCAUUUCCAAAAUCACCUUUCUUUUCUCAUCUUAGAUGCCCAACACCAACACAAAAUAGUUAAAGUGUUUUCACUCCCUUAAAAGAGACCCUGCAAUCAAAUUAUGCUUGAAUCUCUUCUUAAAGAACUUAAAGGUUCUUUUGUCCUCUGAAGGCUAUUCAAACAUCAAAAUAAGAAUUAGGUCUACACAACUGAAUUUCUAACUGAUAGCACUUUAUUCUCCUGGAGAAUACCAGGCCGAGAGGAGGAGCUCAUUUGAUUAGGGAUUUUUAAUUUUGCUGUCACAAAGGGUUGUAUUUACCCUUUAGACUGUGUUCAUUUAGCCAACAUAGAAUUCUUUUCUUUUGCACAUUUUCUUAUUAUUUCAAGUAAAUUUCUAAAGUUACUAUUAUCAUUCUCUUUUGGCAAUUUAUCAUAUAGGCAGCCUAGCAA